rnacentral:rRNA from 1 species
UUGAACGCUGGCGGUAUGCUUUACACAUGCAAGUCGAACGGCAGCACGGUGCAACCUGGUGGCGAGUGGCGAACGGGUGAGUAACAUAUCGGAACGUACCCAGGAGUGGGGGACAACCUCGAGAAAUCGAGGCUAAUACCGCAUACGUCCUGAGGGAGAAAGCGGGGGAUUCGCAAGGACCUCGCGCUCAUGGAGCGGCCGAUGUCGGAUUAGCUAGUUGGCGGGGUAAGAGCCCACCAAGGCUACGAUCCGUAGCUGGUUUGAGAGAACGACCAGCCACACUGGGACUGAGACACGGCCCAGACCCCUACGGGAGGCAGCAGUGGGGAAUUUUGGACAAUGGGGGCAACCCUGAUCCAGCCAUGCCGCGUGAGUGAAGAAGGCCUUCGGGUUGUAAAGCUCUUUCGGCCGGAACGAAAUCGGCAGUGUGAAUAACGCUGCUGGAUGACGGUACUGGAAGAAGAAGCACCGGCUAACUACGU